rnacentral:rRNA from 1 species
GUGCCAGCCGCCGCGGUAAGACAGAGGGUGCAAACGUUGUUCGGAUUUACUGGGCGUAAAGCGCGUGUAGGCGGCUUUGCAAGUCGGAUGUGAAAGCCCACGGCUCAACCGUGGAAGUGCAUCCGAAACUGCAUGGCUGGAGUCUCGGAGAGGAAGGUGGAAUGCUUGGUGUAGAGGUGAAAUUCGUAGAUAUCAAGCAGAACACCUGCGGCGAAGGCGGCCUUCUGGACGAUGACUGACGCUGAGACGCGAAAGCGUGGGGAGCAAACAGGAUUAGAUACCCCCGUAGUCC